rnacentral:misc_RNA from 1 species
UUAACUAUUAUAUAGUACUCAGACGACAUGUAUAAACAGAGUUUAGGGUUCUCUGGCGAGCACUCACCAGCGUGAGCCGGUGGCCGAGGCGGCUCGCCAAAGCAACAAAGGUAUAAUUAACAUAGGGUUGGAGAGUCACCCUUGCGGGCGAGUUUCUCUGUAAUGAUCCCUCCGCAGGUUCACCUACGGAGA